GGGCGCGUAGCUCAGUUGGUAGAGCAAUUGACUCUUAAUCAGUGGGUCAAGGGUUCGAAUCCCUUCGUGCCCACCA
rnacentral:tRNA from 1 species